ensembl:lncRNA
CCCAUUUAGCCAUAUUUUGGGGGGAAGGGUAGUAUUCUUAAUCCCAUGGAAAUUGUAUAUCUGUUUUCUCCAUAAAACUAAGCUAUUUUAUGACCAAGACUGUAAACUCUUGGCCUGUAUGCCCAAUAACUCUGGAAUAUGUAAGACAUAUCAUGGACACUCAGUUAACAUCUGUUAUGGGAAUCAAUGGUCACAGUUCCUUUUUUUCCAUCUUGCCUCAGCAAAGAAUUUACCAGGAGCUUCUGAUCAGAAUGAAUGUGAGAGGUGGGGGAAGGAAAUUCAGGGCUUGGACUCAUCAGAAGGAGGAAGUGCAGGAUGGGAGAGCAAGACAGAGAGAAAAGGCAGAGAGGAGACAUCAGCAGCAGCAAAGGAGAUACCGCUGACGUCCAAGGUCAGGGGCAGAAGCCGGGAGGACCUCAUGCCUGAGGGGCAGUGGCGGAGAGGAGCUACCCCACGCCUGAGGCCAGGGGCGGCGGCUGGGAGGAGCAACCCCACAUCCAGACAGAGGUGGCUGCACAGGCGCAGGAGGGCCUAGAGGAGCGAUUCCACGGUCAAGGUCAGGAGGGGCAGCGGUGAGGAGAUACCCCUCAUCCAAGGUAAGGAGCAGUGGUUGCACUUUGCUGGAGCAGCUGUGAAGAGAUACCCCAUAUCCAAGGUAAGAGAAACCCAAGUAAGAUGGUAGGUGUUGCAAGAG